rnacentral:rRNA from 1 species
CACGGGGGGAGCAAGCGUUGUUCGGAAUCACUGGGCUUAAAGGGCGCGUAGGCGGGUCUCCAAGUCGGUGGUGAAAUCUUUCGGCUCAACCGGAAAACAGCCGCCGAUACUGGGGGUCUCGAGGGAGGUAGGGGUCGAUGGAACUUCCGGUGGAGCGGUGAAAUGCGUAGAUAUCGGAAGGAACGCCGGUGGCGAAAGCGAUCGACUGGACCUUUUCUGACGCUGAGGCGCGAAAGCCUGGGGAGCAAACGGG